rnacentral:rRNA from 1 species
CUUUAANCGAGGAGGAGGCUACUGAGACUAAUACUCUUGGAUAGUGGACGUUACUCGCAGAAUAAGCACCGGCUAACUCUGUGCCAGCACCCGCGGUAAUACAGAGGGUGCGAGCGUUAAUCGGAUUUACUGGGCGUAAAGCGUGCGUAGGCGGCUUUUUAAGUCGGAUGUGAAAUCCCCGAGCUUAACUUGGGAAUUGCAUUCGAUACUGGGAAGCUAGAGUAUGGGAGAGGAUGGUAGAAUUCCAGGUGUAGCGGUGAAAUGCGUAGAGAUCUGGAGGAAUACCGAUGGCGAAGGCAGCCAUCUGGCCUAAUACUGACGCUGAGGUACGAAAGCAUGGGGAGCAAACAGGAUUAGAUACCCUGGUAGUCCAUGCCGUAAACGAUGUCUACUAGCCGUUGGGGCCUUUGAGGCUUUAGUGGCGCAGCUAACGCGAUAAGUAGACCGCCUGGGGAGUACGGUCGCAAGACUAAAACUCAAAUGAAUUGACGGGGGCCCGCACAAGCGGUGGAGCAUGUGGUUUAAUUCGAUGCAACGCGAAGAACCUUACCUGGCCUUGACAUACUAGAAACUUUCCAGAGAUGGAUUGGUGCCUUCGGGAAUCUAGAUACAGGUGCUGCAUGNCUGUCGUCAGCUCGUGUCGUGAGAUGUUGGGUUAAGUCCCGCAACGAGCGCAACCCUUUUCCUUACUUGCCAGCAUUUCGGAUGGGAACUUUAAGGAUACUNCCAGUGACAAACUGGAGGAAGGCGGGGACGACGUCAAGUCAUCAUGGCCCUUACGGCCAGGGCUACACACGUGCUACAAUGGUNGGUACAAAGGGUUGCUACACAGCGAUGUGAUGCUAAUCUCACAAAGCCGAUCGUAGUCCGGAUUGGAGUCUGCAACUCGACUCCAUGAAGUCGGAAUCGCUAGUAAUCGCGGAUCAGAAUGCCGCGGUGAA